ACGCUUGCUACUUCUGCACUGGGCCAUGGGCUUCCCAGGUGGCGCUAGUGGUAAAGAAUGCCUCUGCCAGAGCUAGAGACAUCAGAGAUGCAGGUUCUAUCCCUGGGUGGGGAAGAUCCCCUGGAGGAGGGCAUGGCAACCCACUCCAGCAUUCUUGCCUGGAGAAUCUCAUGGAUAAAGGAGCCUGGCGGGCUAGAGUCCACGGGGUCACAGAGAGUUGGACACGACCAAGGCGACUUAGCACGCUGGGCCUCCAGAGUAGAAUUUCUGAGACGUGUGGUAAAUCUACGUUUAACCAUUUGAAGAACUGCCAGACUGGUUUCCAAAACAGCUGACCCAUCUCACAUCACAUUCGGAUGUAACGUGAUCAGAUUUCUCUGCAUCCUCACCAACAGUUGUUAUUAUCUGAACUUCCAGUUCUAGCCAUCCAGCCUUUCUCCCUGGAGCUCGGGCAGGUGUCCUGAGUACCUGGAGGGAAGAACACCUGUGUUUUCUAUUCCUCCCACGUGGACCCAGAUUUGUGCAACUCUACCCUUUGCUCCUUAUGCAUGCAUGCUAAGUCGCUGCAGUUGUGUUCGGCUCUGUGCGACCCUAUGGUCUGUAGCCUGGCAGGCUCCUCUGUCC
ensembl:lncRNA